GCAUAUCAAUAAGCGGAGGAAAAGAAACCAACAGGGAUUGCCCUAGUAACGGCGAGUGAAGCGGCAACAGCUCAAAUUUGAAAUCUGGCUCUCGGGCCCGAGUUGUAAUUUGUAGAGGAUACUUUUGAUGCGGUGCCUUCCGAGUUCCCUGGAACGGGACGCCAUAGAGGGUGAGAGCCCCGUCUGGUUGGAUGCCAAAUCUCUGUAAAGUUCCUUCAACGAGUCGAGUAGUUUGGGAAUGCUGCUCUAAAUGGGAGGUAUAUGUCUUCUAAAGCUAAAUACCGGCCAGAGACCGAUAGCGCACAAGUAGAGUGAUCGAAAGAUGAAAAGCACUUUGAAAAGAGAGUUAAAAAGUACGUGAAAUUGUUGAAAGGGAAGCGUUUAUGACCAGACUUGGGCUUGGUUAAUCAUCUGGGGUUCUCCCCAGUGCACUUUUCCAGUCCAGGCCAGCAUCAGUUUUCCCCGGGGGAUAAAGGCGGCGGGAAUGUGGCUCUCUUCGGGGAGUGUUAUAGCCCACCGUGUAAUACCCUGGGGGGGACUGAGGUUCGCGCAUCUGCAAGGAUGCUGGCGUAAUGGUCAUCAACGACCCGUCUUGAAACACGGACCAAGGAGUCGUCUUCGUAUGCGAGUGUUCGGGUGUCAAACCCCUACGCGUAAUGAAAGUGAACGCAGGUGAGAGCUUCGGCGCAUCAUCGACCGAUCCUGAUGUUCUCGGAUGGAUUUGAGUAAGAGCAUACGGGGCCGGACCCGAAAGAAGGUGAACUAUGCCUGUAUAGGGUGAAGCCAGAGGAAACUCUGGUGGAGGCUCGCAGCGGUUCUGACGUGCAAAUCGAUCGUCAAAUAUGGGCAUGGGGGCGAAAGACUAAUCGAACCUUCUAGUAGCUGGUUUCCGC
rnacentral:rRNA from 2 species